CUAAAAAGCGAACUAUCGCACUAAGUUUCGGCCUUAGCUUUGCUCACCAAGCUUUAGGAU
rnacentral:tRNA from 1 species